rnacentral:rRNA from 1 species
UUUGGUGGCGAUGCGUUUAGGGGUAACACCCGUUCUCAUCCCGAACACGAUGGUUAAGACCUAAACGGCCGAUGGUACUGCACUGGGGACGGUGUGGGAGAGUAGGUGGCCGCCAAAU